rnacentral:tRNA from 1 species
GAGGGUAUAGCUCAGUGGUAGAGUACAUGCCUAGCAUGCACGAGGUCCUGGGUUCAAUCCUCAGUACCUCCA